AACAUAGUAACACCAGUUCCCCCGUACAAUCACUGAAGUUAAGCAAUAUCGAACUUGGUCAGUACCUAGAUGGGUGACUGCUUGGGAAUACCAGGUGUUGUAA